GCGCCCCGCAAGGGGAGCGGCAGACGGGUGAGUAACGCGUGGGAAUCUACCCAUCUCUACGGAACAACUCCGGGAAACUGGAGCUAAUACCGUAUACGUCCUUCGGGAGAAAGAUUUAUCGGAGAUGGAUGAGCCCGCGUUGGAUUAGCUAGUUGGUGGGGUAAUGGCCUACCAAGGCGACGAUCCAUAGCUGGUCUGAGAGGAUGAUCAGCCACACUGGGACUGAGACACGGCCCAGACUCCUACGGGAGGCAGCAGUGGGGAAUAUUGGACAAUGGGCGAAAGCUUGAUCCAGCCAUGCCGCGUGAGUGAUGAAGGCCCUAGGGUUGUAAAGCUCUUUCACCGGUGAAGAUAAUGACGGUAACCGGAGAAGAAGCCCCGGCUAACUUCGUGCCAGCAGCCGCGGUAAUACGAAGGGGGCUAGCGUUGUUCGGAAUUACUGGGCGUAAAGCGCACGUAGGCGGACUAUUAAGUCAGGGGUGAAAUCCCGGGGCUCAACCCCGGAACUGCCUUUGAUACUGGUAGUCUCGAGUCCGGAAGAGGUGAGUGGAAUUCCGAGUGUAGAGGUGAAAUUCGUAGAUAUUC
rnacentral:rRNA from 1 species